GCACUCAGGACUCUGAAUCCUGCGACGGGAGUUCAAAUCUCCCCAGGAAGU
rnacentral:tRNA from 1 species